rnacentral:rRNA from 1 species
AGUGAACGCUGGCGGUAGGCCUAACACAUGCAAGUCGAACGGCAGCACAGUAAGAGCUUGCUCUUACGGGUGGCGAGUGGCGGACGGGUGAGGAAUACAUCGGAAUCUACUUUUUCGUGGGGGAUAACGUAGGGAAACUUACGCUAAAACCGCAUACGACCUACGGGUGAAAGCAGGGGAUCUUCGGACCUUGCGCGAUUGAAUGAGCCGAUGUCGGAUUAGCUAGUUGGCGGGGUAAAGGCCCACCAAGGCGACGAUCCGUAGCUGGUCUGAGAGGAUGAUCAGCCACACUGGAACUGAGACACGGUCCAGACUCCUACGGGAGGCAGCAGUGGGGAAUAUUGGACAAUGGGCGAAAGCCUGAUCCAGCCAUACCGCGUGGGUGAAGAAGGCCUUCGGGUUGUAAAGCCCUUUUGUUGGGAAAGAAAAGCAGCAGGUUAAUACCCCGCUGUUCUGACGGUACCCAAAGAAUAAGCACCGGCUAACUUCGUG